rnacentral:rRNA from 1 species
GACGAACGCUGGCGGCGUGCUUAACACAUGCAAGUCGAACGGAAAGGCCCUGCUUUUGUGGGGUUCUCGAUUGGCGAACGGGUGAGUAACACGUGAGUAACCUGCCCUUGACUUUCGGAUAACUUCAGGAAACUGGGGCUAAUAUCGGAUAGGAUCUCCUGCUGCAUGGUGGGGGUUGGAAAGUUUCGGCGGUUGGGGAUGGACUCGCGGCUUAUCAGCUUGUUGGUGGGGUAGUGGCUUACCAAGGCUUUGACGGGUAGCCGGCCUGAGAGGGUGACCGGCCACAUUGGGACUGAGAGACGGCCCAGACUCCUACGGGAGGCAGCAGUGGGGAAUAUGGCACAAUGGGCGGAAGUCUGAUGCAGCAACGCCGGGUGCGGGAUGACGGCCUUCGGGGUGUAAACCGCUUUCGCCUGUGACGAAGCGUGAGUGACGGUAAUGGGUAAAGAAGCACCGGCUAACUACGUG